UGAGUAACGCGUGGGGACCUACCUCUUAGUGGGGGAUAACGGUUGGGAACGACCGCUAAUACCGCAUACGCCCUUCGGGGGAAAGAUUUAUCGCUAAGAGAUGGACCCGCGUUGGAUUAGAUAGUUGGUGAGGUAACGGCUCACCAAGUCAGCGAUCCAUAGCUGGUUUGAGAGGAUGAUCAGCCACACUGGGACUGAGACACGGCCCAGACUCCUACGGGAGGCAGCAGUGGGGAAUAUUGCACAAUGGGGGAAACCCUGAUGCAGCCAUGCCGCGUGUGUGAAGAAGGCCUUCGGGUUGUAAAGCACUUUCAGUUGUGAGGAAAAGUUAGUAGUUAAUACCUGCUAGCCGUGACGUUAACAACAGAAGAAGCACCGGCUAACUCCGUGCCAGCAGCCGCGGUAAUACGGAGGGUGCGAGCGUUAAUCGGAAUUACUGGGCGUAAAGCGCACGCAGGCGGUUUGUUAAGCUAGAUGUGAAAGCCCCGGGCUCAACCUGGGAUGGUCAUUUAGAACUGGCAGACUAGAGUCUUGGAGAGGGGAGUGGAAUUCCAGGUGUAGCGGUGAAAUGCGUAGAUAUCUGGAGGAACAUCAGUGGCGAAGGCGACUCCCUGGCCAAAGACUGACGCUCAUGUGCGAAAGUGUG
rnacentral:rRNA from 1 species